UCCCAUAACUCAUAACCCUCCAUACUCAGAUAUCUCAGAAGCUCUAGCUAGCAAGCUUCAUCUGCUUCUGCUGCUGCUGCUGCUGGCUCAUGAGUUUAAAAAGUGUGGAAGAAUCUGUUAAGCUCAGGAGGGAUAGCGCCAUUCUCGAUUUGGUUUAACCACGUAUAGCGCUAUCCAUCCUGAGUUUCAUGGCUUCUUCUUACUCUCUCCCUGAGGAAUUGUGGCCUUUUGAGUAAGGUUUGUAGUUUGUUUUCGCAAUCUUGUUCCUCUCUAUUAGUAAUGCUUUGGUCUUAUGUUUGAGAAGGCUAAUGUGCUUUGCUAUUUGAAAAAUCUCUGUUGCAAGUGAAACCUAUCUGCUUGAAAGCUGAAACAUUAGCAGACUCAGAGUUCAUUUUGAGUUAAAUAAGGGGAUCUCAAUUGUGUGUCAAGAUUUCAAAGAGAUGAACUUUAAAAAGACAUAUUAGCGGGCCUUACAUUUGAACAAAAAGAUAUUUUUCAAAAUUUUAAAGAGACAGAUCAACAAAACUUAUAUCCGAAUGAUGGGAUGUAGGCCAGUUGAUUUUGAUUUUCAAUUUAUCUCUUCCUUUUACAUUUGAAUUUGAUGUUUUCCUUUAAUUAUUUUGCAAUUUGAAGCUAAAUAUUUCCUUACUUAAACUCAACUUGUAAAACCCCCAAAAGCCAAAGAUUAAGCUAAAUAUUUCCUUAAUAAGUUGAUGAUUUUCAUCUGAUUAUAUUAUUAUUAUUAUUAUUAUUAUUAUUAUUAUUUGUUAAAUUCCUUUGAUUAUUUUUGUUAAUGAUGAACCGGACCAUCGAAAUUGGUCUGGGAUGAGAGGAAACAGGAAAGUUAACGUGACGAAUGUUGAAUCUCCUGGGACAGGACGUAAAAAUACUCAUCAGGGAAUGACAAUUCUAACCGUUAAACCCGAUAACCGUGGACAACCAUCCGAAUGGAUUGGAUUUGGGUAUGAAAAUUUGGGUAUAUUUUGGGUAUGGGGAAAAACCGUGAAUAUUAUUUGGUUAUGGUUUUGGAUAUGGUUAUAAGGGUCCUCAAUCCAUAUCCGUACCCAAAUCCGAACCAAAUAAUAUAUAAUAUGUAUAUAUAUAUAUAUGUAUAUUCAUUAUUUAUCGAAGUCAUUACCUUGAGAAUACAAAAAUUGUAUUGUGUGAGUUGCAUUUUAUGGCAAAGUUCAAAAGUUUUGAUAUGAAUCAAAAUCUAUGAGAAUUUAAUAGUAUUUAUGCGAGAUAUCACGGAUCAACCAAUAUUAUCAAUGUUUAGCGCUAUCCAUCUUGAGUUUCAUGGCUUCUUCUUACUCUCUACCUGAGGAAUUGUGGCCUUUUGAGUAAGGUUCGUAGUUUGUUUUCGCAAUCUUGUUACUUUCUCUUAGUAAUGCUUUUGUCUUAUGUUUGAGAACUUUUGAGAAGACUAAUGUACCUUGCUAUUUGAAAAAUCUCUGUUGCAAGUGAAACCUAUCUGCUUGAAAGCUGAAACAUUAGCAGACUCAGAGUUCAUUUUGAGUUAAAUAAAGGGAUCUCGAUUGUGUGUCAAGAUUUCAAAAAGACGAACUUUAAAAAGACAGAUUAGCGGGCCUUACAUUUGAACAAAGGGAUCUUUUUCAAGAUUUUAAAGAGACGGAUCAACGAAACUUAUAUCCGAAUGAUGGGAUGUAGGCGAGUUGAUUUUGAUGUUCAAUUUUAUCUCUUCCUUUUACAUUUGAAUUUGAUGUUUUCCUUUAAUUAUUUUGCUAUUUGAAGCUAAAUAUCUCCCUAAUUAAACUCAACUUGUAAAACCCCAAAAGCCAAAGAUUAAGCUAAAUAUUUCCUUAAUAAGUUGAUGAUUUUCCUCUGAUUAUUAUUAUUAUUAUUAUUUUGUUAAAUUCCUUUGAUUAUUUUUGUUAAUGAUGAACUCCCCUUCAUUAAUUUGUUGCCUUGUUUGCUGCCAUAGCUAAAUAAAAAAACAGAUUAAAAAUGGGAAUUGUUAUUAGCACUCCAAAAAUCUUAUUUUACACUCUAAAUUUUCUAUAUUAGGAAAGAAAAAUACAUUUGUGAGAAGUGUAGAAUGAAAUUUUUAGAGUACCAAUAACAUUUCCCUUAAAAAUAUGCAAAAACAACAAAUAUGAAAGUGAAGGACUUAUCCGUAGUCACAUGUAAAAGGUGAAGAACUGGAGGAUGUUGACCACUUCCCAACCCAACCUGGUGAAUAAGUCAGGGGCCUCUGAUAUUUCCCUUUCAAUUGCCUGAAGUUUGGCUUUAGAGAUUGUGCAAUUCUGGCACCUAUUUUCGUACUCUUUGAGUAUUUGCUUACCAUUUCGGGGCUUUGCUGUUUAGAGUAUGGAAGGAUGGAGAUGAGGACCAAAGCUCAAGUCAUGCAGACCUUAUCUUCAGAAAUGGAGGCUGUAAUAUAAACAUGUUUACAGAUAUUGAGGGAGAGAGGGAGACAAGCAAACGUAGAAAUCAGGAAACUGAGAAAAAGUUCCUUAUAAGAUUUUUGUUUUUUCUAUGCGGUUAAUGUAUAAAUAAAAUACCGAAUUAGUUUUGUCCCUUUCACAAUUUGAUAAUGUCCAUAAGAUUAAGAUAUCGUGAUGUCAUGUUUAAUUACGUGAAAUGAAAACUAAGAUUAUUA